AUUGGAUCAAGGAUGCUGAUAAGGUUUCUUCUCAUUUCAUCGUAUUUUCUCGGAAAGUUUUCUUUUAUCUAAUUUUUUAUAUGGUUUGCUUAUGUUGCUUGUUGCUAAUGCACUGAAAUAUGCAAUCUGUAAAAGGAGAUUAUUAGAUUAGGAACCACAUUCCAAUAAUUUCCAGUCCAUCUUAUGUCCAGGCUUUGAAGAAACUUGAUUUUUUGUUGAGAUGAAUCAGGAUAUGUCAUUUUGCAGUUGAAUGUGUGUGGACUGGCACAGAUGGAACUUAUAAGUCAGAAGUUUGGCUGUAAUUGUUCCGAUUUGCAUUUUCAUUGUUUCGAUGUAGGAGUCUUUGAUUGGAAACUAAAAGGCGGUGCUUAUGGUCUGAAGAGAGACGUGUAAAAGCAGGUUCAAUUACCAAGGCUCCAGAGAAUUCUGGUUCAUAUGAUUCUCCCAAACCAAAAGGCAACAGAUUAUCACUUACAAGUAAAGAGCUGAAUAUGGGCCAAAGUAGAGAACUCUUUUUAUUAUAAGUUAGAACUUUCUUUUGGAGAUUUUAGAUGGAUUAUCUUCCCACCUAAUGAGAUAUGUACAUUUUCCUUUAUGAAGCACAAGUGAAACUGUUUGAAUAUUUCCUUGGCUCGCUAAUUCUUGAUGUUUUUGCAUGUGCAGCUCACUUUUAUGAUGCAUGUCUCCAUUAGUUACAAUCUGGUCAAAACGUGAUCAGAGAGAGGACCCUCAUGAAAAUGAAACCAAGCAUACCCAAAGGCUGUGGAAGCAGACAUCAGAGAGGUGAACGGGAGGGUAAUCACCAUCAAGAUGAUUUAUUAAAGAACCAUCGAACUAAUUUUAAUGACAACAGGUGUGUUGUAGCUAAUUGUGAAUCCAGGUUGGUUUAUUUGUUUAGAGGGUGGUUCCCAUACAAGUUGCCAAACCCAGUGAGCAGAAUAAAACAGAAGAGCAGUGCAUCGCGAUCACACGAAUGGCAAGCAUUCACCUCUCGUUGAUAGAAAAUUAGUAAUUUGUAUCAUCUGUUCCAUUUCCUCAUUUGCAGAUGACAGUCAAUUAGUUGUGCAACAUGAUUUUACUUGGGGUUUGGCAUAAAAAAAAAAGUCUUGGGAUUGUGUAAAAGAGCACCCCCACCCCCCAAUUUCCUCUCCAUGUACACUAUUUUCUAGGUUCUGUGUAAUCAAAUCUUGAUUUUCAUCA